GUAGCUAUUAUUUUUACCUAUGUAUAAAUGAAGUACAAAGUUCCUUUCUCUCAGCUACCAUCUGUUCCACCCCAAGUAUUUUAGACAAAAAUAUUAAGUCUAGCAUUUUCAUUUGUUUUCACUUUUUUAGGCUGAGGAUGUUGGGAUGUACCUCAGUGUUAGAGCACAUGCUUAUUAGCAUAAAUGAGCACAUGCUUAUUAGCAUAAAUGAUAUCCAGAGUUCAAUCCCCAGAACAUCAAUAACAAAAAUUUCUAAUCAAGAUUGAAGCAACAAAUUCAAAAGUAUAGAAAUAAGAUGGGUAUUCAAAGCAUAGAAAAUAAAAUGUAUUGCCAUUAUGUGUUUUAGCAAGUAAGAUAACUUUCACAAGGAAGUUGCAUAGUCCAUGACCUUACAAAUUAUCUCAUUAUAUUCACCCAGAAUCCCACAUGGGGAUUGGUAAACUCCUUUCAGAGUUAGGUCUCAAUAGAACCCACCAUAGUUUCAUAAGUAUCAGUGAUUGUUCCUUCCAAUGAAAAAGGAGGAAAAAAAAAUAGGAAGCUUGGGGUCUAGCUGUCACAAGUUUUUUUUUUUUUUUUUCUUUUUCCUUUUUCUUUUAAUGCUGACCUUUCAAGUUAAUGAGCUGAACUCUCAUGGAAAAUGUGGAAACUGGUUUCUUCACCAACCCUAGGCCUAUCCUUCAAAUUUAGAAGUUUCAUUGUUAACUGAUGUAUCCACCAGAACAUCCUAAACAGCAGGAUAUGUGAAUAUGAUAGCUAGGUCAUGACCUAGUAAAAAAAAGACCAAGGCAACUGUAGGAUUCUUUGGCUAAAUGAGAAAUACAAUGAUGAAAGAAGCAAUUAGCCAUUUACUUCAGUAAAAAUCUUACUGUGUGAAAGGGUUGUAAGCAGUAAAAUAUGUAAUUUAUUGACUAAUUUUUAUGUGUAUAUGAAUGAAAUCUUAUUGCUGAUAAAAAUCUGAAUAUCUAUACAUAAGCAUGUAUAGAUUUAUAUGUAAGGUGCAUGCCAGGUGACUACUUAUACCCAGAUAAUUGAAUAAUGAAUGUAUGUGCCAGACAUCAUGGGCUAAAUAGUUGAAUGGGAAAGUUAUACUGUAAUAAUACCAAAACAUCUUCAUGAGUAACUGUAAUCAUUCAAUCAAG
rnacentral:lncRNA from 1 species